GACGAACGCUGGCGGCGUGCUUAACACAUGCAAGUCGAACGGAAAGGCCCUGCUUUUGUGGGGUUCUCGAGUGGCGAACGGGUGAGUAACACGUGAGUAACCUGCCCUUGACUUUGGGAUAACUUCAGGAAACUGGGGCUAAUACCGGAUAGGAGCUCCUGCUGCAUGGUGGGGGUUGGAAAGUUUCGGCGGUUGGGGAUGGAUUCGCGGCUUAUCCGCUUGUUGGUGGGGUAGUGGCUUACCAAGGCUUUGACGGGUAGCCGGCCUGAGAGGGUGACCGGCCACAUUGGGACUGAGAGACGGCCCAGACUCCUACGGGAGGCAGCAGUGGGGAAUAUUGCACAAUGGGCGGAAGCCUGAUGCAGCAACGCCGCGUGCGGGAUGACGGCCUUCGGGUUGUAAACCGCUUUCGCCUGUGACGAAGCGUGAGUGACGGUAAUGGGUAAAGAAGCACCGGCUAACUACGUG
rnacentral:rRNA from 1 species